UCUCGAAAUAAUUUGAGCUAUAAAUAUUUUCUUUAACCGUGGUAAAGGUUAUUUUUAAAUUAAUAUAGAAGUGAAAUACCUCUCGUAAAUUACUAUAUCUAGAUAACUUUUAAAAGUAUUUAGUACUUAACACAUUAUAGUAAUUAUUAGAUUACUAUAAAAAAGAAUUUUUUAUUUUUUAUUUCUUUUAGGUUUAUACUUUAAUUUUUUUAUUUAAAAAUAAUUAAUUUAAAAAAAAAUCUUUCUAAAAAAAGUUUAUAAUUAAAAAUAAUCUUUAAUAUAUAUAAUGUAUAAAUAAGUAAUAAAUAUUAAAAAAAUAAAAAGAACUCGGCAAUAAUUACGUUCACAAGUUUAUCAAAAACAUCGCCUAAAGAAAAUAUUUUAGGUCUUUCCUGCUCAAUGAAAAUUGUUAAAUAGCCGCAGUACUCUAACUGUGCAAAGGUAGCAUAAUAAUUUGGCUUAUAAUUGAAGUCUAGAAUGAAAGGAAGCAUGGGCGAAUUCUGUUUCUUAAUUUUUUUUUUGAAAUUAAUAAUAAGGUGAAAAUUCCUUUUAAAUUCUAUUAGACGAGAAGACCCUACAGAGCUUUUAAAAAAUACUUUUUAAUUUUUUUUUUGUUGGGGCGACAAUUAAACAUAUAACUUUAAAUUAAUUUUUUUACAAGUCCAUCUUAUUUAGAAAGAUUAAGUUACCUUAGGGAUAACAGCGUAAUUUUUUUUAAGUUUACGACCUCGAUGUUGGACUAGGAAAUUAAAUAGUUAACAACUAUAUUAAUUGGUUCUGUUCGAACUUUUUCUCCUACAUGA
rnacentral:rRNA from 1 species